rnacentral:rRNA from 11 species
UGGUGGAUGCCUUGGCACUGAGAGGCGAUGAAAGACGUGGCACACUGCGAAAAGCCAUGGGGAGCCGUGAGCAGGCUUUGAUCCGUGGAUUUCUGAAUGGGGCAACCCGGCCCAUUGGGUCAUUCCUUGUUGAAUAUAUAGGCAAGGAAAGCAAACCCGGCGAACUGAAACAUCUAAGUAGCCGGAGGAAAGGACAUCAACCGAGACUCCGUUAGUAGUGGCGAGCGAACGCGGACCAGGCCAGUGGCAAUUGUUUAAGAACCGGAACCGUCUGGAAAGUCGGGCCAUAGUGGGUGAUAGCCCCGUACGGGUAGAAAAGACUUUUGUCCUCGAGUAGGGCGGGACACGUGAAAUCCUGUCUGAACAUCGGAGGACCACCUUCGAAGGCUAAGUACUCCUUGCUGACCGAUAGCGAACCAGUACCGUGAGGGAAAG